CAACAACAAUAACGGAACGUUCUCUUCCUUUUUGGCACUAGCACAUUUUGCUGUCUUUUUAUAUCAGCGAAAGUAUGCUAGUGGCAAGCAGGACGUCAUCGACCUUUCAUCCGGGUACUU
rnacentral:pre_miRNA from 14 species